AUGAGUUGCAUCAGCUGGAACUGCCGGGGGCUUGGGAACCCCGAGGCAGUUCGAGAACUUCGCAGCAUUGUGAGGUUGGAAGGCCCUGCCCUACUCUUUGCCAUGGAAACAAAAAUCAGAGCAAAAAGAGUAGAGGAUUUGCAGAAUAGUUUGGGUUUUGCUGGUUGUUUUGCGGUAGACAGUGCGGGCCUCAGUGGCGGCAUUGGUCUUUUCUGGUCACGUGAUGUG
rnacentral:rRNA from 1 species